rfam:Erinaceus europaeus unplaced genomic scaffold scaffold00402, whole genome shotgun sequence
AUCGCUUCUCAGCCUUUUGGCUAAGAUCAAGUGUAGUACAUGUUUUUAUCAGUAGAGUACCUAAGGAUUAAAGGUUUGUGUUCUUCUAAAUAACCAUUAUUAUUAUGUGAUUGCUUUAUUCCCAAAGGUCACUAUUAAAUGCAAUGGAUCUGUGCUCAUCUGAUCAUUACUGAUAAAAAAAAAAGCAUUUGU